AAUGGAAUGGCUGAAAUUUAAGCGAUAAAUUGUAAAUUUAUUUAUGAUUAGAUAAUCUUCUAUUA
rnacentral:tRNA from 1 species